rnacentral:tRNA from 1 species
GGUUUUGUAGUGUAAUUCAACAUUUUAGAUUGCAAAUCUAUAGAUGCGGGUGGUCUUCCGCCAAAACUU